AUGAACGCUGGCGGCGUGCCUAAUACCUGCAAGUCGAGCGAACGGACGAGAAGCUUGCUCCUCUGAUGUUAGCGGCGGACGGGUGAGUAACACGUGGAUAACCUACCUAUAAGACUGGGAUAACUUCGGGAAACCGGAGCUAAUACCGGAUAAUAUUUUGAACCGCAUGGUUCAAAAGUGAAAGACGGUCUUGCUGUCACUUAUAGAUGGAUCCGCGCUGCAUUAGCUAGUUGGUAAGGUAACGGCUUACCAAGGCAACGAUGCAUAGCCGACCUGAGAGGGUGAUCGGCCACACUGGAACUGAGACACGGUCCAGACUCCUACGGGAGGCAGCAGUAGGGAAUCUUCCGCAAUGGGCGAAAGCCUGACGGAGCAACGCCGCGGGAGUGAUGAAGGUCUUCGGAUCGUAAAACUCUGUUAUUAGGGAAGAACAUAUGUGUAAGUAACUGUGCACAUCUUGACGGUACCUAAUCAGAAAGCCACGGCUAACUACGUG
rnacentral:rRNA from 1 species